rnacentral:misc_RNA from 1 species
AACGAGGCCGACCUGCGGCUGAGUUACCUGCGGAAGGAUCAUUACAGAGUUGCAAAACUCCCUAAACCAUUGUGAACGUUACCUAAACCGUUGCUUCGGCGGGCGGCCCGGGUCCUUCCCGGCGCCCAUCGGCCCUCGCGGGCGCCCGCCGGAGGUAAACCAAACUAUUGCAUUGUAUGGCCUCUCUGAGUCUUCUGUACUGAAUAAGUCAAAACUUUCAACAAUGGAUCUCAGAUCGGA